rnacentral:lncRNA from 1 species
CAUAAUCUUGCAGGAAGAAACUCCAAAAGAAGUAUACAAGGAUGCUGAAGAUCGGUCCAUGACAUGGGAGUUUCCGAAGCACAACUUCACUCUCAUGGCCCUCUGGUCUCAAUUCUUAGUCUCUGCCACGGAGACAAUGUUCAAUGGUUCAGCCACCGGUAGUUUUGAUUUACAUCUGGACAAAGUUGAUCGAAAUUGGUCCGAAAAACUACCUUUCAUAGAUUAUGCAAUUUUCUCAGACGUCCAGUGGUUCUUCAGACAGCACUAUUUAUACGAGGGCAGCAAUCUUAUAGGCUGCAUAUUGUGCCAGGUACCAAACAUGACAGAUCUCGG